UUGAAUGGGUAACUUAUAAAAAGUGGACAAGGGAGCUCAAAGCUUCACGCACCCAACUGUCCUGUGGUCUCCUUAGAUUCCCACAUCAGGACUAAGAGAAAACUAGGACUGCAGUGGAAUUUAUUGUCAAAGAGUGUGUUUAGCAGGAAUGAGGACCUGGGUUCCUCUUCAGCCGCCCACCCCCCAAAGAAAAAGAGCAAAACAGGGGGAAGUGGAGAGAUAAUGAGGCUGAGAUAGAAAGUGCUCAGAAAGGUUCCAUGGUUCACAAGAAUUCGGCAAAGAGGGAGAGGCCGGCCCUGCAGUCAGCCCACAGGCACUGCACACCCCCACCCUGAAGCCUCAGUUUCCACGAGGAAGCUUAAGAAAGGAAAUGAAGAAAGCAGUCACUGUCCUGUCCAUAGCAUCUUGAGAGGCACAGAAAGGGACUCAGGAGGUCAGAGGCUCAGAAGGGAGGGGCCCAGAGGAAGAGGACAGAGACAGCACCACUGUUGCCCAAGAGAAGCCCCUCAAUCUCAAAGUCAUUCAACCACGGAAAUGAGACAAAGCCAUCCAGGGCGGUUGGGCAAGAGAGGGAGGUGCCUGGCAGGAAGCAGGAGACUCAGACUGAGUGUCUCCCAGUGAACAAGGGCCAAAGUAUCAAGCAGCCUGGAGCAGGCCCAAGGGACAGAGACAGCCCUCCUGUAAAUAUCCUGGAUUCAACUUGGGGUGCUUCCCAGGGCUGGAGAGUCCCACUCCACCUACAGUCUCCCUACCAGCCGGUCCCUGUGGCUGCAGAGGGACAACAUCAGCUGACACUGACAGAGCUAACAGAACAUGGAGUUGGCUUCUCAUAUCUGCAUUCUCAGAGUCUACAACAUGACUACAAAAUAAAGUGUCUCUACCGAA